AGAGUUUGAUCCUGGCUCAGGAUGAACGCUGGCGGUAUGCUUAACACAUGCAAGUCGAACGAAAUCUUCGGAUUUAGUGGCGGACGGGUGAGUAACGCGUGAGAAUCUACUCUUAGAUUGGGGACAACAGUUGGAAACGACUGCUAAUACCGAAUGUGCCGAAAGGUAAAAGAUUUAUCGUCUGAGAAUGAGCUCGCGUUGGAUUAGCUAGUUGGAGUGGUAAUGGCACACCAAGGCGACGAUCCAUAACUGGUCUGAGAGGAUGACCAGUCACACUGGGACUGAGACACGGCCCAGACUCCUACGGGAGGCAGCAGUGGGGAAUUUUCCGCAAUGGGCGCAAGCCUGACGGAGCAAUACCGCGUGAGGGAGGAAGGCUCUUGGGUCGUAAACCUCUUUUCUCAGGGAAGAACAAAAUGACGGUACCUGAGAAUCAGCUCGAUCGCCG
rnacentral:rRNA from 1 species